CUCUGCAGAGCAUAGACCCACUGAGACAGCUUAUGCUUCCUUACUUCUGAACUCUGACACCCAGAACAUAUGCAAAGAAACAAAUGGCCUGGGCAGCAGAUACCCGCUCUGCAGUGCCUCUGCCUAAGGACUGCUCCUCCUGGCCUAAGGGCAGCUGAUUAAUUUGUUAAAGGUCAAAACAACCGCCAAGACAGUUAAACAAGACGUGACGUUCACCAUACUUUUCCUUUUUUUUUCUCCUUUUUUUUUCUUUUUGAGUUCUUCAUCUUUGGAGAUAGGAUAGGAGACUCAGCACUGAGAAACUAUUACUGAUAGGCUUCGGGCUCGUUUGCUUUUCCUUGGUCUCCAGUGAAUCAGCCCAGGAUAACCGGAGGGUGCUCUGAGGUGAUAACUGGAAGUGUUGAGGUAGCAGCUCUCCAAAGCAAUGGGUUGAAUAUGAAGAAGGCCCAGGCAAGAAGUCUCCAGGUUUGACUGAAAGGAUAACAGAACAAGGACACCUGAGAAAGAUGCUGAUUUCAGGCCAUUUAAAGCUGGAUCACUAGCCUAAGUGAUUAUUGUGUCCUGUCCUCUGUAUCUGCAGGUGCAUGAAGCUUCUGCUAAGAAGGAUUUUUGUCAGUACCAUAUUUUGGAAGGUCAGGCGGCAAUAACAGUGAAGACAUGACAGCCAAAACAAUUAAAAGGCAGCACAGGUACCUGUUUGAAAGUACUCUUUUAAUAAUUUCAUCAUUUCAGCACUCACCUUCUCCUAACUUGCUGCGCCUCCUUAUCACUUCAUGUGAACUUUGUCUUGUUAAAAGAUAAGAAAAAGAUUAUGCACCAAAUGAUUCAGCUGACUCUCUAUUCUGACACUCUGCAAGGAAAGUGGUAUAUAAAUGUUAUCUGUACAAAGUGAAUUUCACCUUGCUUUUCACCACUUGAUUUAAAAAACGUGAGAUUUAUAAUAUUUCUGUUAAUGUUGCCCUUUUCAGCUUGUUGGGUUUUUUGUACAUUUUUGGACAUGUUACAGCUUCCUAGAAUUUCUAGUUCUAGAAUAAUUUAGAUAAUUAGGAAAAAUAAGUUUCUCAUCCUUAUCAAUCAGAAACACAGCUCAGCACUGGGCUGUCAUAUCCAGUUCUACAGCAGUAGUGUACAUCAAAAGUUAGCUUGCUCUGAUGUUAUAAAAAGUUUUUGGGGGAGAAAGAAGUCGCAGUUCCUUGGGAUAUUUAUAGCAUUUAAGGAUGCUUUUAAGUAACUUGUAAUGGCAGAUGCCAUUGGGUACUCUGUCAUAAGUGGUUUUGGUAUGCAUACCAAGUAAUGUAUAUUAUGGUAUGUUUCAAGCUAGGCCCACAUUAAACUUUGUAGAAAAAAUAAAGAACACAUCUGUAUUACUGUAUGAAUUCCAUUUGGAUUUUGUUAAUGUCACGUUUUAUUUUAUUUUUGUUUUGAAUUCAGCUCUUCAGGGAUUUUAGCCAUCAAUCUGCUAGUAUAACACGAUGGACUUAUGUUUAAAGCUCUAACACAAAUACUGAUUGCACUCACUGAAUAGUGUUACCAUGGGGUAGAAAACUUGUAACAACAGGACUAACCUUUGAAUGGCUUGGGCAAGAAGCCAUGGAGUGAGAUUCCUGCUUUUCCAAGGGCU